rnacentral:sRNA from 1 species
CCGAAAGGAGGGGGAUGCCUAAGGUAGGACUGGUGACUGGGGUGAAGUCGUAACAAGGUAGCCGUACCGGAAGGUGUGGCUGGAUCACCUCCUUUUAGGGAGACCUACCCAUUGAAGAAUCGAAAGCCGAAGGCGAAUAGAGAAUCAAAUGGUCUACUCUAGGUCGAUGACGUGAGAUUGUGAAGUCUUUCAAACUAAUAUUUGGUUCGCGGGCUAUUAGCUCAGGUGGUUAGAGCGCACCCCUGAUAAGGGUGAGGUCCCUGGUUCGAGUCCAGGAUGGCCCACCUGGGGGUUUAGCUCAGUUGGUAGAGCGCCUGCUUUGCAAGCAGGAUGUCAGCGGUUCGAGUCCGCUAACCUCCACAUUAG